rnacentral:rRNA from 1 species
GACGAACGCUGGCGGCGUGCUUAACACAUGCAAGUCGAACGGAAAGGCCCUGCUUUUGUGGGGUGCUCGAGUGGCGAACGGGUGAGUAACACGUGAGUAACCUGCCCUUGACUUUGGGAUAACUUCAGGAAACUGGGGCUAAUACCGGAUAGGAGCUCCUGCUGCAUGGUGGGGGUUGGAAAGUUUCGGCGGUUGGGGAUGGACUCGCGGCUUAUCAGCUUGUUGGUGGGGUAGUGGCUUACCAAGGCUUUGACGGGUAGCCGGCCUGAGGGGGUGACCGGCCACAUUGGGACUGAGAUACGGCCCAGACUCCUACGGGAGGCAGAAGUGGGGAAUAUUGCACAAUGGGCGGAAGCCUGAUGCAGCAACGCCGCGUGCGGGAUGAAGGCCUUCGGGUUGUAAACCGCUUUCGCCUGUGACGAAGCGUGAGUGACGGUAAUGGGUAAAGAAGCACCGGCUAACUACGUG